UACGUAGGGCGCGAGCGUUGUCCGGAAUUAUUGGGCGUAAAGAGCUCGUAGGCGGUUUGUUACGUCGGCUGUGAAAACUCGGGGCUCAACCCCGAGCUUGCGGUCGAUACGGGCAGGCUAGAGGUAGGUAGGGGAGAAUGGAAUUCCUGGUGUAGCGGUGAAAUGCGCAGAUAUCAGGAGGAACACCGGUGGCGAAGGCGGGUCUCUGGGCCGAUACUGACGCUGAGGAGCGAAAGCGUGGGGAGCGAACAGG
rnacentral:rRNA from 1 species